rnacentral:rRNA from 1 species
GACGAACGCUGGCGGCGCGCUUAACACAUGCAAGUCGAACGGAAAGGCCUGCUUUCCCUUGUGGAUUGCGGGUACUCGAGUGGCGAACGGGUGAGUAACACGUGAGUGAUCUGCCCCCAACUUGGGUAUAAGCCUGGGAAACUGGGUCUAAUUCCCGAUAGUACUGCAGGGUGGUGCCUGUGGUGGAAAACGAUUUUCUAGUGGUUGGGGAUGAGCUCGCGGCCUAUCAGCUUGUUGGUGGGGUAAUGGCCUACCAAGGCGGCGACGGGUAGCCGGCCUGAGAGGGUGGACGGCCACAUUGGGACUGAGAUACGGCCCAGACUCCGACGGGAGGCAGCAGUGGGGAAUAUUGCACAAUGGGCGGAAGCCUGAGGCAGCGACGCCGCGUGGGGGAUGACGGCCUUCGGGUUGUAAACUCCUUUCGACCGCGAGGAAGCCACCUGGUUGGAAGGGUGGUGACGGUAGUGGUAGAAGAAGCACCGGCUAACUACGUG